UCAAAUGAUGUAAUACAUAUAUUUGCUACUUCGGACGUUGGUUUUCCCAUCGAAUGAGACAUAACAUAUAUCACCAAGAUCGCUGAUGGA